GUUGGAGAUUAUAAGUGGCAAGAAAAGUAAUGGUUUCCAUCAAGAGGAUCCUUCCCUAACCUUGAUAGGACAUGUGAGUGAUGGAAAAUUUUGAAUUUGUUAACUUCUGAACUGUACAACUGGUACUAAUAGUUCAUUUCAUAUGUGGUGAUGCUAUGAACAAAGGUGUGGGAGCUAUGGAAAGAAGGCAGAGCAUUGGAGAUGGUUGACUCAACACUAAAGGAAGCAUACAAUUCCCAUGAAGUUAUGAAAUGUAUUCGCAUUGCACUUCUAUGUGUGCAAGAAGAUGCAAUGGAUAGACCAACUAUAUCAGCAAUUAUUCUCAUGUUGGACAGCGAAAUCGAUCUUCCUUAUCCAAAACAACCUGCUUUCAUUUUCAGAACUUCUUGCAGCAGUUCAUCAAUAUGGGAAGGACGAAGUUCUAUAAAUGAAGUGACAAUCACUGAAACUGUACCUCGCUAAUUGAAGAGUACAUGCUCUCGUAGACAACAUUAAAAUUCUAAUUGUGCAGAAUUUUAUGAUACCUCAUGUGAAUUUUUGUUAGAUUAGCAUAACAUCCAUCAUAAUCAACUGUGUACCUAUCCGUAGCAGCAAGUCUGAUUCUUGAUUCAUUUUAGGUUGUUUUCAGGGUUUUAGAGACAUUGAGGGGGAAAAAAGAUCUUAAAUGAUUUUUGUUUACAGUAUUACGGUGUAAUUGGUCUUUUCAUUAUUUCUUGCUUCCUAUUCUUAUAUGAAUUGGAUGCUUCUAGUACACUGAAAAUCUCUCUGGCGUACCAUCCCAGAUUUUCCAGACCCUGAAAAAUCUUUUAGAACUCCGAUAAGUAUGAACGUUUUGGCUUGGAGGUCGGGCUAGAAGAGGAUUAGAGAAUUGGAGAGCCACUUUGAUAUGUUUAUUAUUGUCAUUGACUACGAUUUCAACAAAGGAGAAAACUCAUUGUCUUUACCACAUAUUAUAUGGAUGGUUGUUGUAGACAACCUUGAAUGCUGAUGCUUGAGACAAAGCUAAUGGUUUAGAUGAGGAAAAGCCAUAUAUGGGAAAAUCUGAGGAUAAUGAUAUUUUAAUCCAAUUAAACUUUUCCCAAAAGAAAAAUAUAACUUCUUAG
rnacentral:misc_RNA from 1 species